GGGCAGGCGGAACGCAGCUGCUCCCUGCUAAAAGCAGGGAGAGGAAAGUCCGGGCUCCAAAGGAAAGCGUAACAGGGUAAUGCCUGUCUCUGCUAGAAUAUUAGCAGAAGGAUAAGAGCCACAGAGACGAUAAAAGGUGAAACGAGGCAAUCUCUACGCGGAGCAAGGCGAAUAGCCCCGCCUUCUUUAUUCCUUUUUAGGAAUGAAGUUAAGGGUGAUCCGCCCGGAAACGGCGGGAGGGUGAUAAGCUGCUUUUAGCCUUAAGGUUUAAAGACCUUAAGGAAUCAGAGGAAUGGCUGCUUUAGAUGCGAUUAAUCGCAAUCGACACAGAACCCGGCUUAUUCUGCCUGUCCUUGU
rnacentral:RNase_P_RNA from 1 species